GACGAACGCUGGCGGCGUGCUUAACACAUGCAAGUCGUACGGUAAGGCCCUUUCGGGGGUACACGAGUGGCGAACGGGUGAGUAACACGUGAGUAACCUGCCCACAACUUUGGGAUAACGCUAGGAAACUGGUGCUAAUACUGGAUAUGUGCUCCUGCUGCAUGGUGGGGGUUGGAAAGCUCCGGCGGUUGUGGAUGGACUCGCGGCCUAUCAGCUUGUUGGUGGGGUAGUGGCCUACCAAGGCGGCGACGGGUAGCCGGCCUGAGAGGGUGACCGGCCACAUUGGGACUGAGAUACGGCCCAGACUCCUACGGGAGGCAGCAGUGGGGAAUAUUGCACAAUGGGCGCAAGCCUGAUGCAGCAACGCCGCGUGCGGGAUGACGGCCUUCGCGUUGUAAACCGCUUUCAGCAGGGACGAAGCUUUUUGUGACGGUACCUGCAGAAGAAGCACCGGCUAACUACGUG
rnacentral:rRNA from 1 species